rnacentral:rRNA from 1 species
UACGGGGGGGGCAAGCGUUGUUCGGAAUUACUGGGCGUAAAGGGCUCGUAGGUGGCCAACUAAGUCGGACGUGAAAUCCCUCAGCUUAACUGGGGAACUGCGUGUGAUACUGGAUGGCUUGGAUUUGGGAGAGGGAUGCGGAAUUCCAGGUGUAGCGGUGAAAUGCGUAGAUAUCUGGAGGAACACCGGUGGCGAAGGCGGCAUCCUGGACCAAUAUUGACGCUGAGGAGCGAAAGCCAGGGGAGCAAACGGG